UUACCAGGGUUAGAGGUUCUAUUCAUUCUAUUUACCAGGGUUAGAGGUUCUAUUCAUUCUAUUUACCAGUCAUAUUACCAGGGUUAGAGGUUCUAUUCAUUCUAUUUACCAGUCAUAUUACCAGGGUUACAGGUUCUAUUCAUUCUAUUUACCAGUCAUAUUACCAGGGUUAGAGGUUCUAUUCAUUCUAUUUACCAGGGUUAGAGGUUAUAUUCAUUCUAUUUACCAGUCAUAUUACCAGGGUUAGAGGUUCUAUUCAUUCUAUUUACCAGGGUUAGAGGUUCUAUUCAUUCUAUUUACCAGUCAUAUUACCAGGGUUAGAGGUUCUAUUCAUUCUAUUUACCAGUCAUAUUACCAGGGUUACAGGUUCUAUUCAUUCUAUUUACCAGGGUUAGAGG